AUUUAUCAAAAUAAGCCAAUUUCUUCAACGACAACGUACUAAUUUGAAUGAUAAUCUGUUUGUUUGGAUUCCGAACACUGAUAGGAGAACUAAAAUGGCGAUGUGUGACGUCAUCACGAAUAGAGCGUAUUAUUGCUCUGAAACCGGGCCUGAUAUCCAUCUGAAAUUUGUAUAUAUAUUUUCCAUAAAGGUUGAGGUAUUCAUGAAAAGAAAGGAUCAAGUUAAAUGUAAAAUUGUGGAGAUCUUGAAAGGAUAACAAGAAAUUCGAGUUGUCGGAUAUUCUGUGAUUAAUAAUUUCCUAUGACUUUAACCUCCAAAUUAAGAUAAGAUAACCUAUUUUUGUAACCUUCCAUCCAAGAACUGUGUACGAUUUUAUUGAAUUUUGAAGUUUUAUUGAUAAGAAAAUGGCAAAGAGUUUAAGAAGUAAAUGGAAGAGGAAAUGCCGUGCAGUGAAACGUGUAAGAUAUGGACAAAAAGAAUUGGAAAGGUUGAAAAGAAUAUUGGGUGUUGAUCAAUCACAAGUGAAAAUAGAAGAUUUGGAUGUAACAGAAAUAGCUGAGGUAAAGACAGCUGAAGAGAUUAAGAAUCAGUCUGAUGAAAUAGUUCAAGUUGACGAAACCAUGGAUGUUGAUGUUUCGUCAUCAAAAGUGAAUUUAAAAAGAUUGAGAAACAAAGAUGGAGCAUACCCAGUUUGGUUACAUCCUAGGAAAAUUCCCAAAAAGUCGAAAAAACAAAAGAGGAAAAUUCAGAAGAAAAAAGAUCGUAAAUGAUACAUAUAAUUUAAGAAUCCUUGACAUUGAAUAAAUAUGUAUAUAGCAGAAAAACUCAACAAUAACUAAAUAUUGUGAAUGCUUUUCAUUUAAUAAAGAUAUUCUAUCUUUAUCUUUGUUUAGCUGUAAUUAAUUUAAUAUCAAUAAAAAAUUUGAGAAUUG